AAUGGAUAAAGCAGAAAGAAUUGGUCUUGGUCUGGGACACUCAAAAUGCUGAUCCUUUUGAACAAUGUGGACAAGUACAGAAUAUUGUCCAAUGUAUUCAUCCUUGAGGAGAAAUAAACUAAAUCUGUGUGCUCUGACUGUCUCAUAGGAGUUGAAAAAGAGCCCCUCCCUUUUUUUUUUUUAUGUUUGCAUGUUUUCAGAGUUUCCAAAGGAAUUCGCUUGGGCCAAGCAUUUUGAGGAGUAUAUCUGAUUUUCUCUGAAAAAUGAUUAUCUAGUUGCACAGUUGUGAGGUUUGGGGCCAGAGAUUCUAUUAUUUAUAGCUUUGAGAAUCUGAAGUCAGUAUGGAGCUGUGUACCUACGCAAUUCCCUAUUGCUGGCCUCAGAGUGAAGACUGAGGUGAAUUCUCCAUGACAAAGAAGAAUUCAUAUUGCAGCCUUGCUCUGACAGCACUGGGGCAGUGAUAUGGUGAAGACAAGAAAAUUUUCCAUUGCUGUAUACCAUGGAAAGGUAAAGUGCAACCGGCCACUUCCUCAGUUUGGCAGUCACAAGUACGUGAAGAGAAGGAGUUCUCAUGAAUUUUCAGCCAUGAGUCCAUCUGGGAAUAAUUCCACUAUGAGAAGAAGGCUUCCAUUCUAUCAAGAAAAAAGGCUGCAUGGAAAUCACGGAAAGCUACAGAAGAAAGUAUCAGUCAUUGUUUAAAAGCAUUGUGGCCUGUGAAGAUGGAAACCAAAAUGAGAAUUUGCUUCCAAAUUUUAUAAGCUUCUAGAAACUAAAAUGAUGAGAAACAAAUGCAAAAAGUUCACAAAAGUACCAGUUACUUAAAAAAAAAAUCUUAAGGCCUUAUUCUUUUAUGAUGAAUAAAACUGAUUAGAAGGAUAUUAAUUAACCA
rnacentral:lncRNA from 1 species